rnacentral:rRNA from 1 species
UUUAUAAGGCGAUUGAUUUAGCGGCCGCGAUUCGCCCUUCAUGGAGGGUGAGAAUCCCGUAUAUACUAACCGCAGGAAUGUUAUUAAUACGAUCUCUAAGAGUCGAGUUGUUUGGGAAUGCAGCUCUAAAUGGGUGGUAAAUUUCACCUAACGCUAAAUAUUAGCGAGAGACCGAUAGCGAACAAGUACCGUGAGGGAAAGACGAAAAGAACUUUGAAAAGAGAGUUAAACAGUGCGUGAAAUUGUUGAAAGGGAAACGAUUGAAGUCAGUCAUGCCGGCGAGAAUCAACCUUAGGGAAACUUGGGGUGCAUUUCUUCGUUUGGCAGGUUAGCGUCGAUUUUAGACGUUAUAAAAUAAUUGGGGGAAGGUAACUCCUUUUGGAGUGUUAUAGCCCUUAAUUGAUGUAAUGUCUGGGAUCGAGGAUUGCAACGGAUACCUUUCGGGCUAGCCGCCUGGCCUCUGAGUUAAUGUUGGGUUACGGACAGCAUGCUGACUGUGAUCUGAUUAUUGAUCAAAAGGUUAGAGCGAGCGUAAAUUCGUU